GUGCGGGUCCUCAUCUGUUUGCUGUAUGCUAUAAUUUGACCCAGCACCAGCUUCAAUGCAAGUCUGGAUCUGAGUUCAAGCGUGUUCAUGCUUAGAUAUAUACACACACACUAUCGUAUAAGAACUUUUAACACUUCUUCAAAUGUUGUUUGUACAGGUACAGAACAAUCUGAGAAAUCUCAGCUUUUGGCUGGUACAGAACAAUCGGAGAAAUCUCAGCUUUUGGUUGUGUCCAGUAUCCAGUGUCCAGAAUAUGCUGGUGAAAACAUCAAUGGCAAGAUAUUUCUUAUUAUUAAAUGCUUUCAAUGAUUGUAUAACAUUUUUUCCCUUUUUAAUUAUAUCCAUAUUUACAUUGACCCUUAUUAUGCUAGAUUCUUCAAUCUCUUUUGCUGUCCCUGUGCAAUCUUACUCUUCUGGGGCAGGGAUUGAUGUGAAAUAUGUAUAAUUCCUGCAAAACAGUGUAAAUGUGUCAGUGCAAUUUAAAUAAAGUAAAUAAAUAACUGCAGAAUUGAAGAUCUAAAAAUCAGGUCCUUGCCAAUUGAGUCCCAAGUGCACUACAGAUUUGUUUCCUUUUUUUAGAUGUGAACUGACGUGAUUCAUUUUUGGCCAUCAUUUAUGUUACAAGUUUCCUCUUUAUGUUUG